rnacentral:rRNA from 1 species
AUGCAGAAUCAUUUCGAUCUACUUGUCGCGGAUGUGAUGCCUAUAUACAUGAUCAUGCCUAGAUAUUCUCAUAAAUAUGCACUUUUCUAUGAAUUGCUUGACAGUAAUUUAUUCACCCACCAUAAUACUUAUGCUAUCUUGAGAGAAGCCACUAGUGAAACCUAUGGCCCCCGGGUCUAUUUUCCAUCAUAUAAGUUUCCAAUCUAUUUUAUUUUGCAAUCUUUACUUUCCAAUCUAUAUCAUAAAAAUACCAAAAAUAUUUAUCUUAUUAUUAUCUCUAUCAGAUCUCACUUUUGCAAGUGA